ACAUGCAAGAAUACACAAACUGGCAAAAGAGGCCUAAUAAACAAACUGCUAAGCUAGGCUGGGCUAAGCUAAUAAGUCCAAGGAUAUACCAAGGCAAGAGAGAGCAAACCAGGAAGUAGGGUGAAAAUCAAGCCAACAUCUAGGCUAAUAGCAAAUAACACAGGUAAGAUAGAACAGGUAAGAUAAAAAGCCAGGUCACAGAUGCUAAUGGACAAGCAAACAGCUAAUCUAACAGCAUAACAAAAAGACAGCAAACAUGCAGGCUACAUGAUGCACCACUAACCUAGCCAUAGCAAAGAACAAACACCUGGAAAUGCAUAAGACUUCACAAACCAAGACUCUGAGAUGUGGGUAAAUAUACAGUCCCAAAAAUGAGCCGUGAAACAAGCUGCAGGUGUUAGUAAUCAGGAGAGGCAUUCAUCUUCAGGAAUGGCUUUAUCAUGAUCAGGGUUGUGGUAGAUCUCAGGAACGUUAGGCAUAAGGGGCCAACAAAAGGGGGUAUACAAUGUAGAGCUGUCUGUGUGUGCAAGUAGAGAUGAAGAGAUGUGGACACUUUAUUCAAGAAGUGAGUCCACGGGCUGGAUAAUAAUCGUCAGCAGAAUUGCGAGGUGCUCGGACCUCCCCAGACAAUACCCAGAGGUGUUCUGAGAAUAAAAAUCUGUAUUACUUCCUAUGGCAUGUACAACAACGUUCGCCACUGGCAUACCAGGCAAUGACGACCCUGCCUUCACUGCAAGCCCCACAUGGGAGACUGACUCAUGAUCUCAUCAGAUUUGUACAUAUACUUGUAACUUAACCUUCAUUCUAAUGAAGCUGUUUGCCAUGUUGAAGCAGUAGGGGCGGGGUUUUUCCUGACAGCUUUUGCCAUCUAUCUGUUAAUUAUAGUUAAAUCUCUCAAAGUGGAUAAAUGUUUAUGUUGUGACAUGGAUUUCAAAUAUGUACUUACAAGACACACAGUUGCAUUUCCACUCAUUACGAUGUUUGUCAUGUUUGGGUUGAAUUAGCAUGGUGGAAAUUUCUGAUGGUUUCUGCCCUCUGGUUGCUUGUUCUCAUUUGUUCAUUAUGGAGCUCUACUGUGCAGCGUGACCAUGUUUGAGUCGACUCAUUUUAAUAAUAAAUCUACCAACGUGUUAUGAAUUUGUUAGCACCUUAACUUUUGUUUGGUGCUGAACGAGCGAACUGUUAUGGAAUUUCCAUUUUAGUAGAUUUCCAUUUUAAACAUGGUUCACAAAUGUUUUUUCCAUUUUAAACACUCAGGUGAAAAAAUAUACAUCUGCCUCUUUGUCAUUUCCUUGUGGAUUAUGUCAAUGGAUGAUGCCAUUAUGUGCUAAUAUCAAAAUUACAUCCAUAUUUGAAAUUUACACACCCACUUGCCUCAAAACUACCCAGUUCUUCAUAUCAAACCAACAAUUUAGACAAGCGCAAGUUCUCCUGAUGAAUUAGAUAUCUCUCUAAUUGUUUUGCAUAGGUAUUGCUUGCUCUGUUAGACUCUUGCACCAUCCUCUUGGCCCCCUCAUUUAACCCACUGCCUAACAUUUUUACAAUUCAACCACUGGGUUUUAUUCAUUCCAGUGACAAGGCUAUUUCUGUGUGGAUGCGAUUGUGCAGUCAGUAAACAUACUUAUUCAUGUGUCUUCUCCAGUGGAUGCUACAAAAGUUAUGUAUGACACCCAUGCUGGGAGACACGUGGGAGGGACCCUGUGUCUUGUGAUAAAUUUGCAAUACACCAUUGUCACAGUGUGUGCUGGAACACUUCUGAUCUACAAUUAAGACUGUUUCCACUGCACAAGGUGGUAGAACAUUUGGCACCAGAAACUGUGAAACUGUGCAUUUCAAUGGGCCAACAAUCCAGUACAAGAUUCUAGCUGUAGGACUAUAGAUUUUGGAAACUGCUCAAAUACCAAUAGGAACUAACAGAAAUGGUACUUUGGGGGUGGGGAAAGCAGCACGGCUUCACUUCUGAUUGGUUACUCAUACCUACACACAGAUCACUCCGUUUCACUGGUGCUAUGGUUAUGCUGUCAAAUGUAACAUUGUGCUAUUCCUUUUUUCAAAGAGAACAAAUAUUUUUUUGGCGUCUUGAUAUAAUCUGUACAUUCAUUACAUAGCUGCUGAAAUUUAAAACACGACACCAAGCCAUUUCCUCAGUAACGUGAAAAAUAAUUAUACAAGCACUGCUUCCAUGUUAAACUUACCAAUGGUGACACUGCAUGCUGAAAUGAUGAAGCAGUCCAUUUAUGUCACUGCUGUGGCUGUUCCUGUUGUCUCUAUACAUGACAACUCUCUCUAAGUUGUUGUAAAAUGAAUUAUAAUUAACCACAUGUUAUCUUAAAUCAUGUUUGGACCAGUUCUUGUUUUUGAAAACAUGCUUUUCUUGCAUGGAUUGAUUGUCACUGUUGAUGACAAGACCAUCUGCAAAGUUCCAAGAAACAGAUUAAAAAACCACCAGAACACAGACAAGUAGUCCUUCUUGCACUGUUUUUGCUGCAGUAAUAACUCCCUUCUAACAGUUCUUGUACUAGUAUGAGGAUAUAUUUUUACCUGGCUGGAAAUGCACCAAAUGGUGUAAAUAGAGGUGUAUAUGGAAUAAUGUAAAAUGCAUUUGUUGUGGCUUUGAAAGCCGAGUAUGACCUCCAUCCUCUUACCAGUCAAAGUGACCUAAUGUGGUUGAGUAACAGUCUCUGUCUCUGUUCACUGGUUAAGGGGGCAGUAAAAGAUAGAGCUUUACUGAAGCUAUCGAUUCCUUGUAAAGUGACAACUGCAACUUUAAUUAGAACUGCCAUCAACAGCUGUUCUUUUAUUCAGACUUAAUCACCGAACCGGUGUCGCGGGUCUGUUUUAAAAGCAGAAAAAGAGCAUAAUUAAUGCUGCUUGUGAACUGACAGGUGUGUCAUGUACAGUAAAAGGUGAAGAUAUGGAUUCCUAGUACACCUGUCUAUUGCCCUAGAGAAUGCAUUGUGUGUGUGUGUGUGUGAGUGUGUGUGUGUGUGUGCGUGCGUGUGGUAGGUGAGCUGUCACUGUAAGUGAGGAUAUAAAGGUGCUGACAUUUCAGUGGCUUCAUUGCAAGCUCAGCUAAAUCCAAAAAUGGAACGCACAAUUCUUUAUUUUAUUUUUUUUAAUAUGCUUGUUCUAGUGACUAUAUAUGUCAGAGCUCUCUUCUGUUUCUACUUGCCUCCUGAGCUCUCCUCAUAGCGUUUUCGCCAAAUGGUCACCAUAAAGAUUAGCAGCCCAUGAACCACAAAACAUGUGCAUGACUGCAAGCUCAAUCACACAUUCUCUCAGGCUCUCUUCUCUCUCUCUCUCUCUCUCUCUCUCUCUUUCUACUCUGACACACAAAACCCUGACCGUGUGGCGCUACUCUGUAUGGCACCCAUCCAUCACUAUCAUUUUCCAGCCAUGUUUGUUGGGAGCCAAAUGAAUUUAUGAUGCAUUACCUAGAGGUACAACCAGGCUCAGUGUGCGUGUGUGUGUGUGCGUGUGUGUGUGUGUGCGUGCAUGUUUUUAAGUCUUGGUGGGGACCAAAUGGUUAGCAGUAUAACCGAAUAUUAUAAGUUAAGGUUAGCAAUAUAUAUGCAGCAAGAUAUUUCUUAUACGAUUAAUUAAAUCAUUAGAGAUUUCCUUUAUACCUUGUUGAAAAAUAAUGCAGUACAUUAUAACUUGUUAGAUUUUGUCCUAUAUUUUAUAUAUACUAUAUGUUAACUUAAAGUAAAAGUAAAAUAAUCUUUCAAGUCUUACUCUAGGGGCCAAAUCUGACUGAAACAUGACCUUGUAAAAAAAUUGUAAGCAAACUGAAUACAUAUUAAUUACAGAUUCUGAAUUAGAAAAACAGAAGAUUCGAGAUUUUUCAAUUCACUGCAGUUUUCUUUUUAUAACUGAUGUAUUUAGUCUAUCAAGAUGCUAAGAAGUUUAUUGGUUUUAAUGUUUACUAAUGCAAAAUCUAAGAUGCCGAAUUUUCAAAAUAUAACUAUAUUAUAUUUCAAGAAAAUAAUUAUACUGAAUGUUAAGUUUUGUGACUGUUUUUGUGAACUUGUCAAGGCCAUUGUUUGCAAUAAUUAAUGACGAUAAAGUUUUAUUAUACAAAUGUCAGACUGAUGUCAUCUGCAAAUAGAACAGGGAAAUAGUCUACAGUGACAGAAAUAGCAGCGGCAAAAGAAUUAAAUCUUGAGGCACAUGGUGAAAAAUACCAAACAAUGGCAUAUUAUAUGGUACAUAUAAUGCCAGAAUCGGAAGCCAUAAAAAUGCAAUUUGUCUAAUGGCAUGUUAUUAAGUGCAGAUCAUUUUUAUCAACUAAUUUUAAAACUUAUAAAAGGUUUUGGAUGAAACAUAUUGCUUUUCAGACAAGAUGCUUUAUAAGUUUAAAUUCUUAUAAUGUUUCAAAUUCUUAAUAUAGAGUUUUUUUCUAGAAGACCCAUGAAUGAAUGAAAAUCAGGCAAUAGUUACUGAAAAAACUAGAGUCUCCUGAAUUGUAUUAUACAGUGGUAUGACCUUCGCAGAUUAUAGACUUCAGUAUGACACCUGACUUCAAGGAGUUUCACUCCACUUCAAGGAUUUUUUUUGAAGGAUAAAAGUUAAUAGCUUAACCAGUGUAAGACUGAGAAGGACUAAUCUUCUCAUCGACAGCCACAGACCUGUUCAAGGUACUGAUCAUUUCCAACAACUGCUCGUUCACUAUGUUGGUCAAAUUAGGAUGGAACAGAAUAAAAAUAAAAAUCUAGAUGUAAUUAAUUUUAAAAUAAAGUAUAGAGCAAAGUAUUAAGGUAUAGUGUAAAUAUUUUUAAAGAAGGAAAAAAUUUAAACAAAGAAAUACUGUCCCUAAAAUGAGUAGAGAAAUAAAAUAAAUAUCUUAACUUGGCUAAUUAAAUGCUUGUAUUUAUUGCAUUGUAUGUAUUAAUAUAUUUCAUGUGUCUCUGUAAUGAAAAUUAGGUGAGGAGGGGAGCGGAAACUUGUUAUGAAGCUGAUUUUUUAUCUUUCAGAGACUUACUUAAUGGUUUGUGGUCUCCAUAUUUAUAAAAUACAACUGGAAAUGAAGGUGGGAACGCUUCAUAAACUUGAUUUAAGUCAAGGCUCCUGAAAACUUAUUAAUGAGCUGCAUUUUCUUUUCUUAUUAAACUCUCCAUGCUUGAAAGUGCUUGAAAGUGCAUCAUUUCUUGUUUAUGUAUAGUAGGUGUUAAAAAAAUCAAGGAAUAUAUCAGCGAUAUCAGCACACAACAAACUAAUCUGUGGACAUAAAGUCUUAGAGACUGCAAUCAGAUGUAUCAAUGAGAUGUAGAGGUGCAGAUGCUUUGAGAACCAGCAGGAAGACAUAAUUAUUAUAAAGGGUAUAAAACGUCAGUAGAGAGGAUAAACCAAGUAAAUCAAUCCUGAAACAAAGUUUGCCUUCGUGAUCAUUUUUGUUCAGUAGCAGAACUAUGGUUUUGAAAAAGGCCAGCAUUAUUAUUUUUAUUGGUGGCUACUUGAUGCACCAUUACAUUUUUCCCAUGAAAAGGAUUGGGGUAUUAGAAAAAAAAAAAAAAAAAAAGCUUCAAAUCGAGAAUCAAGCUUAACCACAACAUCAUACCUUUGUGAAAAGUCUGGGUUUGUACUUAGAAGAAUGAAACCCUACCUCUGGCCCUUUCCUUUCAACAGAAAUGUAGAGUACUGAAUCCAGACACAUGACACAUUGAGGAUGUAGCAAAAAGAGAAAAAUAGUACUUUGUUUAAGACACAAAGUGCACUAGAUGAUUUUCUGUGGAAACCGAAGAUAUUUCGAGUGAGUAUAGAAAAUGUGAUUCUCAUUGUUCAUGUAAUUAAGCAUAAUUUGCAGACUUUAAGUAUACUUAAUUACUAUAAGAAGACAAACAGCAAUUAGUAGUGAA